rnacentral:rRNA from 1 species
UAGCCGUAAACGAUACUCGCUAGGUGUCGGCCACGGUGCGACCGUUGUCGGUGCCGUAGGGAAGCCAUGAAGCGAGCCACCUGGGAAGUACGGCCGCAAGGCUGAAACUUAAAGGAAUUGGCGGGGGAGCACCACAACGGGUGGAGCUUGCGGUUUAAUUGGAUUCAACGCCGGAAAUCUUACCGGGACCGACAGCAACAUGAAGGCCAGGCUGAAGACUUUGCCGGAUUAGCUGAGAGGUGGUGCAUGGCGUAGUCGUGU